rnacentral:rRNA from 1 species
AAUCAACGCUGGCGGCGUGCCUAACACAUGCAAGUCGAACGCGAAAGCCCCGCAAGGGGUAAGUAGAGUGGCAAACGGGUGAGUAACACGUGGGUGACCUGCCUUCGAGUGGGGGAUAACGUCCCGAAAGGGACGCUAAUACCGCAUGACAUCCUGCUUUUGAAAAAGCGGAGAUCAAAGCUGGGGAUCGCCAGACCUAGCGCUUGAAGAGGGGCCCGCGCCUGAUUGGCUAGUUGGGGAGGUAACGGCUCACCAAGGCGACGAGCAGUAUCCGGCCUGAGAGGGCGGACGGACACACUGGGACUGAGACACGGCCCAGACUCCUACGGGAGGCAGCAGGGGGGAAUUGUUCGCAAUGGGCGCAAGCCUGACGACGCAACGCCGCGGGGAGGACGAAGAUCUUCGGGUCGUAAACUCCGGUCGAGCGGGACGAACGCUUCGCGGAUGAAUAAUCCGCGGAAUUGACGGUACCGCUAAAGGAAGCCCCGGCUAACUCCGUG